GUGCUUUCACUGGCAGCACAUAAAUUAAGUUGGAUUCUGCUGAGAUUAGCCUGGCCCUUGCACAAAGAUGAUGUCAAAUUCAUGAAGCAGUCCAUAUUUCU
rnacentral:snRNA from 1 species